AUCAUUUGAUACCCACCAAUUUUCAAAUAUCAUGUCACCCAUCUCUCUCAUUUCAGGAAAAUAGCUUUUUAAGAAGAGCUCAGUAAUAAAAAUUCCAUCCAACAAAAUCACUUCGGAUAAUUUAAAGGGAUUUCGGAUAUAGGUAUCUUCAUAACACCCACAUACAUUCUUUUCCUGACUAUGGACAUAUUCUGCCAAAAGUUCUAAUGGAACUUUAAAGGUGUGCAGGAAAUUGUUUAGAUACUUUAAUUUGUAUUCUUCCAUGGCUUUCAACUGGACAUC
rnacentral:lncRNA from 1 species